AAGAGACAGCAGCAGCCACGGUAAUACGUAGGGUGCGAGCGUUAAUCGGAAUUACUGGGCGUAAAGCGUGCGCAGGCGGUUCGUUAAGACAGAUGUGAAAUCCCCGGGCUUAACCUGGAAACUGCAUUUGUGACUGGCGAGCUAGAGUAUGGCAGAGGGGGGUAGAAUUCCACGUGUAGCAGUGAAAUGCGUAGAGAUGUGGAGGAAUACCGAUGGCGAAGGCGGCCCCCUGGGCCAAUACUGACGCUCAUGCACGAAAGCGUGGGGAGCAAACAGGAUUAGAUACCCCUGUAGUCCCUGUCUCUUAUAC
rnacentral:rRNA from 1 species